UUUAUUGGGCAAAAGCUCGUCUACUAAGUUUUACGGGGACAAUCUACUCAUAGAUCCAUCAAUUGAACUGGAUGUUCCUCUAAGAGCAAGUGAAACUACCUUUGAUUCAAGGGACAUGUUGAAGAGCUGCGAUCUUGAUGAUACAGACCUAAAUGCAACAGAAGAAGGGCUUUUGACGUUUAACCGAGAUGAUGAAAUUCCUAUACUUGAAAAGGCUUAUAAACUUAGUUCGUGGGAAAUUGUCAAAUGCAGCUUUUAUCUUGCUCCAAUAUGGUUUGCGACUGAGGUAAUUGUUUUUAUUCGAUUGUUGGCUUCAAAAUCACAUCUUAUCUUAAUACACACCCUCAACACAGUUGUAGAAAAAGUUUUGACUAUACUUGACUUAUUUUAGACUUCAAAACAUGCAUUUUUUGCCAACCAAUUAAGAAUUUUAAAAAAGAAGGAAAAGAAAGGAGAAGAGGAGAUAGAGGACUCCGUAGAACAGGGUUUAAGAAAUUUCAACUCUUACCUUAAACAUCUUAAGCUAUAUGCAGGCCAUACUUUUUUAGUCAUAACACAAAAAAUCUUAUUCAACUACAAUUUGAUAUUUCCACAUUCACAAAGUAAUCUUUGAAAAGUUUGCAAAGUGGUAGAGAGGUAGCAAUCAACCUAAAGGAUGGCUUGCUAUUUGUUAGAAAAAUUGUUUUCAAUAGACUCGUAUCAGUGCAAUAUUGAUGUUUUUCAUGUGAUGUAAAACAGUUUUGACUCGUAUCAGUGAAAAUGAGUUUUGUUUGGCCAAUAAUUGUUAUCCUAAGUUGCACAAUGAAGCUUUUCAACAUUUUGUUUGAACAAGUAAAAAAGGAGCUAAAGAGGUGGGAAAUGCAAGUAUUUAAAUGAUUCUCUUAAAAGUCAGCCAUAUGCACUGUUGCAUGAAUUGUGCCUACCAUCUGUACCUAUUGAUGCUGGAUCCUUUAGAUUAUCCGUUAGAUGACCAACCAUGAUUGUCCAUUAAAUGUUGACCACUUUGAAACUUUUGCAGUAUUUAUCAAACUCUGCCCUUGCUAAUACUAGUGUGGCCAAUACGACAGUGUUGACUUCAACAUCAGGGCUCUUCACUCUAUUCUUUGCAGCACUCAUUGGUCAGGAUUCCAUAAAUGUUGCUAAGGUUCUUGCUGUAUUUGUUAGUAUUGCUGGUGUUCUCAUGACCACCAUUGGGAAAACAUGGGCUUCGGAUGAAAUGCUGAGUGCCUCUCAGUAAGUAUUAUUCGUUGAAAGCUUUCUACAUUUUCCCCUCAACAAUCAUGUACAAUAAAUUGCUCCCAUUUUUAUUUUUUUUGGAAAUUCUCUUUAUUAAGUUGCAUCUUUGACACUUGAUUUCUCCAUAUGGUGUAGACUCUUUUUUAGUAUUUCACCUUAGUGACUUCUUCCAGAAGAAUAUCUGGCAAAAUAAAUGUUUUCCCAAUAUGCAAGCCCUCUAAAAAUUUAUGACAAGUUCUCCAAAAAAAGUGGAAAUCUCUGAAAAAUAAAGCGAACUGAUGGAAACUAGAUUACUAUAUGGCAUUGACAAUGGUUUGAACCUAAAUGCUUAGUGGUCAAACUUGUUUAUAGUACGAUCUUAUGGUGUUUCAUUAUCUGAUGUGAACUCAACUUCAAUGAAUAAUGGAUGUAGUAAUAAUCAAACCAAACAUAUUGUAUAAAAAUGUACACCGUGUCAGAAAUAUCAAAGAUUUUUUUUACUGAAACACAGACGGUAGGUGAAAAUCUCAAAAGUUGGUACAUAUGUAUGAAGAUAUAUACGGUCAUCUUUCUUUGUCAGUUGCCGCCAUAACUAAAACUCUCACAACUAGCGGUGACGUUUCUUUCUACCCUCAGGAACUUUGCUCAGCCCAAAAAGUACCAUUGUUGACAAUCACUAAUUCUUUUGAACACAAUGUGAUGGAUAUCACAUCAGUUGUUAACUUGGCGUGUAUGUCUAACACAUCAUCUGUCAUGCUCUGAACCUAGGCAUUUCUUGACAGUGCACAAUUACAUAUAUGCCCAUUUUCAUGAAAACCUUGGACAGUCUCAUGCCUACAAGGCUACCAAUCCCAAACUUAGCCAUAUGGAAGCUUAUCAUAAAUACACACUACUGUCACCCAAUCCUUUUAAUAGGACAUUCUCAUUUUCUGCCUAGUGUUGAUUUGUCUCUUUUUGUUUGGCACUAUCUCAGUCCUGCCAAAACUUUGUGAGCCUCCUAGAAUAACUGACCAGAGAUUUACCUCAAUGACCAUUACUUUCCUCAGUAUAAGUAGUGGAAAGAGUGUAUUAACUGGCAAGAAAUCCCACUCAGAAUUUUCAUAGCUUUCGUAUUUGCAAAUGCAUGCAUCUGAGUCAAAACAUCAGGCCUACUUAUAACUCGCCUGCACCUAGGGUCAUGCUGAUUCUCUGAAGCAAGUUUUUCCUGCACUUUUUAUGUACUAUUUGAAUAAAUACCACUAGGCGUUGUUUCACUUUCUAUAUUUGGACUGAUUGAGGUUCCACAUGUGGUUGGGCUGCUGGACAGUUAGCAUUCCGCCAUAUUCAAGAUGUUAAAACUGCAGAGCUCUAUUUUUGUCAAGAAGAUUACUAACUGGUGCAUACAGUGGAGAUCUGAAGUUUCCAAAGUGAGCUCUUGUAAAUCUUGUACCUGAAGAAGGAAGUCAAAGGAAUGUUUUGAAUUGACAAAAAGCUAUGUGACACAAAUCAUAAACAUGCAAAGUUCUGAGUAAUAUACUAUAAAUUAUAAUAAUCUAGUAGUACUGAAUACAUGCACUAAGCACCCAUGCUUGUCAUUCAUCAGCUAAUCAUUUUUCAGUAGAGUAUCCUCGCAAGUAACACACUUUAUUUUCACUUAACACUUGCAUUAUUUCCCUUAUACUGGCAUUCUCAUGUCAGGACCCAAUGGUUAUGAUUUAAUUUGCUUUUGAAGACAGAUUAUCAAGUAAUAUUUUGAAAUGCUUUUAUGACAGUGUUAGAUAUUACAUUUUUUUUUGUUUUAAUGAAAUAUAUUCAGGUAUAGCAUGUGUCUCUACAUUUUUAUGUUCAUGAUAUCAUCCCGUUGUUAACUAUGCUUUCCAAGCAGAAACCACGGGGGUGCUAGGAUAAAGUUUCUCCCAUAUUGUUGUUUCAUGUAGUGUACAUUUUCACUUAUCUUUGAAUUUUUCCUAUAGAAUGAGGAGGCUUUUCCUCAUAUAGGACAUUUCCAGAAAAAAACAUUGUGAUUGGAAUUUACCAUGCGAAUUCAACAGCAGAAGCCUCUUCUAUGUCUUUCCACUAAAGGGCAAACAGAAAGAGAGAAACCAAAGCUUUUACUCUCUACCAUAAGAGUUACCUAGACUUUUUUCUUAUUAGUCAAGUGGUAAGCUAGGGCACUAUUUGACGAAGAAAAUAUACUUCAGAAAAAUAGUUCACGUAGCUCAGCUGGUUAGAGCAAAGGACUGAAAAGGUAGCCACUACAAAGAAGUUCUGGGAGCUUAAGAAUGAAGCGUCUAGCUCAUAUUGGUCAUGAGUCGAGAACAGGAAUUGAAUUUAUCCUUCGCCUCCCUCAGCUUCUCUUAAGAAACUUGAAAUUGGAUUGAUGACAAAAGAGAAUCCUGGGUCUCCAUUGGGCCCUCUUAUCUGUUCCUUCUCUGAGCUUGCACAAUACGUCCAAUUGAUUAGAAUUAAAAAAUUCUCUCCCUAUUGUUACAAGCAUACAAUUCAUGGGGAGAUAAAGAAAUAGAUCUAGCUGAGUGCCUGUGGAACUCCUGUUGAUGGUUCAAUCAAUUACUUCGUUGGAAUGUUUGCUAAUGAUUUUAAUAAAAUCUGGCCCAAAUCCUUUUUUCCUUAUUGAUUUUAUUCUUUUCUUUCAACUUCCAAAUAAAAAGAUCUAAUGUUUAUUCAAGUUCCUAGUAAAUACCAAGCAAGAUUUCAUUGGUUCGGUCUUUUGUUUAUUUGGAUCAUAAAAAAUUAUCGAUUUGAAGAGGCUGUAAGAAAAGAAAAAUCAAUUUUUUCCAUGUUUCAUAAUAUGCUUAACCAACAUGGCGACAGUCAUGCAGUAAACAGAGCUACUGAUCCAUGCCGCUACGAAAGACAUUGGAAAUCUAAACUGCCUGGAAGUAACCAUUCGGUAGCAUUGAGAAAGGGCAGAUGUAUAGAACUUUUCGACGUGAUAGUAUUAGACAUAACACGAUCCAUUACUUUAUGAGGGAAAAAAGUCCACAUCUAUUCUUUCUUACAAUUUCUUUGUACUAACAUGACUUGCAUGUCUAUUUACUUGACAAGUCCAGUUUAUGUGCUAGAUCUUAAUAAGAUCUUCUUGCCUGAUCGUCCUAGAUUAGUUUUAAUAUCUAAUUGCUCAAGAGGUCUCUGCUUUUUCCUCUAGUAUUUCUUUAUUGUUCACUUUAUUAAUUAAAUUUGCUUUACAUUGCCUAGGAGUAAAAGACAUAGCAUCAUUGGAGAUUUUUUUGGUCUUCUCUCGGCAGUGUCCUACGGCUUAUUUACGGGUAUAGAAUAUACUUUCAUCGAGAGGUUCUGUUUAUUUAUUUUAAUUUAUAUUUUGCUUCAGUGAAGUGGACGACUUUUUCUAAAUAAAUGCAACCUCAAAUCCAGUGCUACUAAAGAGAUCUGCUGGAUCAGAUGGCGAGAGAGUUGAUAUGCAGAAGCUUCUUCUCAUAGAUCCAUCAAUUGAACUGGAUGUUCCUCUAAGAGCAAGUGAAACUACCUUUGAUUCAAGGGACAUGUUGAAGAGCUGCGAUCUUGAUGAUACAGACCUAAAUGCAACAGAAGAAGUGCUAUUGACGUUUGACCGAGAUGAUGAAAUUCCUAUACUUGAAAAGGCUUAUAAACUUAGUUCGUGGGAAAUUGUCAAAUGCAGCUUUUAUCUUGCUCCAAUAUGGUUUGCGACUGAGGUAAUUGUUUUAUUCGAUUGUUGGCUUCAAAAUCACAUCUUAUCUUAAUACACACCC
rnacentral:lncRNA from 1 species